rnacentral:lncRNA from 1 species
ACGCCUUCAUCCCGCCUCCAAGGCUGUCGGAGAUGGUUUUUUCUUUAUCCAGUUAUGUGGUUUUGUUUUUUUAUUUGUUUUUUUGUUUUUGUUUUUGUUUUUGUUUUUGUUUUUUUUGAGACGGAGUCUUGCUCUGUUGCCCAGGCUGGAGUGCAGUGGCGCGAUCUCGGCUCACUGCAAGCUCCGCCUCCUGGGUUCACGCCAUUCUCCUGCCUCAGCCUCCCGAGUAGCUGGGACUGCAGGCGCCCGCCACCACGCCUGGCUAAUUUUUUGUAUUUUUAGUAGAGACGGGUAUCACCGCGUUAGCCAGGAUGGUCUCGAUCUCCUGACCUCGUGAUCCUCCCGCCUCAGCCUUCCAAAGUGCUGGGAUUACAGGCGUGAGCCACCGUGCCUGGCGUUUUUUCAUUUGUUUAAAGGCAGGGCCUUAUUGCCCUCAGAAAGCCUUCAGGAUUGGGCCUGCCAGACCAUGCCUCCCAGUUUAGAUUCCCCAGGGCAGGGCCAUGUCCCCCCGAAACCCCUCAGAUUAGGUAUUUGUGUCCCUUACCCCCUAGACCAGGGUCCUCUCCCCUACCCCCUUAAACCAGGUCCCGUCCCCUCUCAGACCUUCCAGGGCUCUCCAAGGACAGAACAAAGUGGGGAGUCCACAGAUCCUGGAGUGCCUCCCUUGUCGCCCCCUAACAAAUCCGAAUGCUUAUUUUUAGUUUCUUUGUUUUGGUUUUUAGAGACAAGGUCUUCCUCUGUCGCCCAGGCUGGAGUGCAAUGGGCAAGAUCAUGGCUUACUGCAGCCUCGACCUCCAGAGCUCAAGGGAUUCUCCUGCCUCUGUCUCCUGAGUAGCUGGUCUACAGAGACUGGGUCUCGCUCUGUCGCUCAGGAUGGUGUCGAACUCCUGGGUUCCAGCAAUUCUCUCACCUCAGCCUCUGAAAGUGCUGGGAUUACAGGGGUGAGCCACUGUACCCGGUCCCACCGUGCCCUUUUGCAGUCAACCUCUCCUGUCCCAAUAUUUCACCGUCCCUAUAGUUUUUUUUCUCCUAGAACAUUAUAGAAAUAGAGUCAUACAAUAUGCAACCUUUGCGUUGAACUUCUUUCCCUCAUCCUAAUACAUUUGAGAGUUCUCCAUGUGGCUAGG